AACAUUAAAAGAGGGGAAGACGGCUAGACAUUCUGGUGGUUCAAGGAGCAUGAUCCAUACGCAAGUGUACCUGGAAAAAAAAAGGGUGGUCCAGUGUCUUUCAUAGACGUUUUUGAAAGCUAUUACACAAAGACAAAGAAAGAUCUCUCCGCGCCGCGUGAGUUUACUAUUCCAAAAGCUGAGAUUGUCCGGGAUGAGUAUAAGCGACUCUUGGUGGAGGAAUUUGGGUCGAGUGAGGAUGAACAUCCAACACAGAUUGUGUCAAGUCUU